GGCUUUUGUGGAAUGUAAAAAGUUCUACGAAUAAGGACUGGGUAAGACUAGUGCCAGCCGCCGCGGUAAUACUAGCGGUCCAAGUCGCAGCCAUUCUUAUUGGGUCUAAAACAUCCGUAGCUUGCUUGAUAAGUUUUCUGUGAAAUCUCAUAUCUCAAGUAUAAGAAUUGUGGAAAAUACUGUCAAGCUAGAGACCGGGAGACGUAAAGAGUACGUCUAAAGUAGCGGUAAAAUGUGUUGAUCUUAGGCGGACUGACGAUAGCGAAGGCACUUUACGAGAACGGUUCUGACAGUAAGGGAUGAAGGCUAGGGGCGCAAAACGGAUUAGAUACCCGUGUAGUCCUAGCAGUAAACACUGCACACUAAACCUUGUGAUCUCUUCGAGAGAUUGCAGGGCUGCAGGGAAGCCGAAGAGUGUGCUACCUGGGAAGUAUAGUCGCAAGGCUGAAACUUAAAGGAAUUGGCGGGGAGACACUACAACGGGUGACGCGUGCGGUUCAAUUAGAUUAUACACCGUGAACCUCACCAGGAGCGACAGCAGAAUGAAGGUCAGUCUAAAGGGCUUACCUGACACGCUGAGAGGGGUUGCAUGGCCGACGUCAGCCUGUGCUGUGAGGCGAUCUGUUAAAUCAGAUAACAGGCAAGACCCACAUCUUUAUUUAC
rnacentral:rRNA from 1 species